rnacentral:rRNA from 1 species
UACGGAGGGUCCAAGCGUUAUCCGGAAUCAUUGGGUUUAAAGGGUCCGUAGGCGGGCAAUUAAGUCAGAGGUGCAAUCCCACAGCUCAACUGUGGAACUGCCUUUGAUACUGGUUGUCUUGAAUUAUAGUGAAGUAGAUAGAAUAUGUAGUGUAGCGGUGAAAUGCUUAGAUAUUACAUAGAAUACCGAUUGCGAAGGCAGUCUACUAACUGUAUAUUGACGCUGAUGGAAGAAAGCGUGGGGAGCGAACAGGAUUAGAAACCCUAGUAGUCC